rnacentral:rRNA from 1 species
ACGGGAGGCAGCAGUGGGGAAUAUUGCACAAUGGGGGAAACCCUGAUGCAGCGACGCCGCGUGAAGGAAGAAGUAUCUCGGUAUGUAAACUUCUAUCAGCAGGGAAGAUAAUGACGGUACCUGACUAAGAAGCCCCGGCUAACUACGUGCCAGCAGCCGCGGUAAUACGUAGGGGGCAAGCGUUAUCCGGAUUUACUGGGUGUAAAGGGAGCGUAGACGGAAUAGCAAGUCUGAAGUGAAAUGUAGGGGCUCAACCCCUGAACUGCUUUGGAAACUGUUGAUCUUGAGUACCGGAGGGGCAGGCGGAAUUCCUGGUGUAGCGGUGAAAUGCGUAGAUAUCAGGAAGAACACCGGUGGCGAAGGCGGCCUGCUGGACGGUAACUGACGUUGAGGCUCGAAAGCGUGGGGAGCAAACAGGAUUAGAUACCCUGGUA